rnacentral:ncRNA from 1 species
ACGCUCAGCCACGGGUGCCCACCGCUGUGGGCUGAGAUUCCUGCGAACGAAGACGCAGGGGAACCGUUGAACCUGAUCCGGGUAAUUCCGGCGCUAGGAAGGAAAGUAAAUACCGUG